UGGGAAUCUUCCGCAAUGGGCGAAAGCCUGACGGAGCAAUGCCGCGUGAGUGAAGAAGGCCUUCGGGUCGUAAAACUCUGUUAUAAGAGAAGAACAAAUUGUAGAGUAACUGCUACAGUCUUGACGGUAUCUUAUCAGAAAGCCACGGCUAACUACGUGCCAGCAGCCGCGGUAAUACGUAGGUGGCAAGCGUUGUCCGGAUUUAUUGGGCGUAAAGGGAGCGCAGGUGGUUUCUUAAGUCUGAUGUGAAAGCCCACGGCUUAACCGUGGAGGGUCAUUGGAAACUGGGAAACUUGAGUACAGAAGAGGAAUGUGGAACUCCAUGUGUAGCGGUGGAAUGCGUAGAUAUAUGGAAGAACACCAGUGGCGAAGGCGACAUUCUGGUCUGUUACUGACACUGAGGCUCGAAAGCGUGGGGAGCAAACAGGAUUAGAUACCCUGGUAGUCCACGCCGUAAACGAUGAGUGCUAGGUGUUGGAGGGUUUCCGCCCUUCAGUGCCGCAGUUAACGCAUUAAGCACUCCGCCUGGGGAGUACGACCGCAAGGUUG
rnacentral:rRNA from 1 species